rnacentral:rRNA from 1 species
AUUGAACGCUGGCGGCAGGCCUAACACAUGCAAGUCGAACGGUAACAGGAAGAAGCUUGCUUCUUUGCUGACGAGUGGCGGACGGGUGAGUAAUGUCUGGGAAACUGCCUGAUGGAGGGGGAUAGCUACUGGAAACGGUAGCUAAUACCGCAUAACGUCGCAAGACCAAAGAGGGGGACCUUCGGGCCUCUUGCCAUCGGAUGUGCCCAGAUGGGAUUAGCUAGUAGGUGGGGUAACGGCUCACCUAGGCGACGAUCCCUAGCUGGUCUGAGAGGAUGACCAGCCACACUGGAACUGAGACACGGUCCAGACUCCUACGGGAGGCAGCAGUGGGGAAUAUUGCACAAUGGGCGCAAGCCUGAUGCAGCCAUGCCGCGUGUAUGAAGAAGGCCUUCGGGUUGUAAAGUACUUUCAGCGGGGAGGAAGGGAGUAAAGUUAAUACCUUUGCUCAUUGACGUUACCCGCAGAAGAAGCACCGGCUAACUCCGUG